AAAUCAUUAGUCAUUCCUCCCAUAAAAAAAAUCACAACAAGUUUAUAAGCCUUGAAAACACCACAACAACAACCCAAUUACUUUGUGAAUUGUUAUCAACCAAACAGAAAUUAUGAGCAACACACAAACUCAACAACAACAACAACAAAACAUGGACAACGUUCCUCCUGCAGGUUACCCGACUCUAAGUCCUCCUGAAGGAAAGAUGAAGAAGAAGGGUUGGUUCCGCACCAAGAAGAGGGGUGAGAAAGGUUUCAUUGAAGGAUGUUUGGCCGGGUUAUGUUGCUGUUGGAUCUGUGAAGAGUGCUGCUGCUAAAAGAAUCAUGGAUUGAAUGAUUGAUGAUGAUUGUUGUAUCUAUCAUGUUUUUAAUACAGUUUGUGAAAUUAUUGGAUUCUUGAAUUAUGUGUAACUGAUCUAUGAUUUGAUACACAAUAUAUAUAUACUUUGUCAUGUGAAUAAUAAAAUUAUCAGUGUUAGUUUUUGUUAAUUA